UGGCCCCAGAGGGCGGGAGGCAGUCGUGGGGGGUUUCACGUCCCCCAGGCGCCAGCCAGCCCCUCAGCACGGCCGCGGGCUCAGGGGACCCUGCAGCGCCCCGCUAUGCCCCCGCUGUGCCCGGACGCCGCAGGGCUCCCGGCGAGGCUCAGCCCAAGGAGCAGGGGCUGAGGCUGCAGGCAAGUGACCGACAGGGAAAUGAGAGUUUCAUUGUGUUUCAGGCCGAAAAGUGUUUGAAAAAUGCAGCAAGCUGCCCUGCACGUGGCUGCGGCUCAGGGAGCUGGCUUUCUGGCACAGCUGUACUGAAUGUAUGGACGAGUCCCUGACCCAAAGAACUUGCAAACGAGUUUUGGAUUUCAUAGGCAAACAAGGACAUGGCAGUUCACAGGAAUGCGGAGGGACAGGAGAAUACAGAUUAUAAAAGGAACAGGUCUCAGUUGCUCCGCCUGUGCCUGUCCAUCUCAGUGACAUCCUUACUUCUGGAAACACAUUGAUUAUUUAAAUCAUAGUUGAGCCUCAAAUACUCUGUGGGUCCCCAAAGAUGGAGCCCCUUGCCUACACAUGCCCACCCGAGU
rnacentral:lncRNA from 1 species